rnacentral:rRNA from 1 species
UACGAAGGGUGCAAACGUUGCUCGGAAUUAUUGGGCGUAAAGCGCACGUAGGCGGCUUGGCAAGUCGGAUGUGAAAUCCCUCGGCUCAACCAAGGAAGUGCAUCCGAAACUGCUGAGCUUGAGUACUUAAGAGGAUCGCGGAAUUCCCGGUGUAGAGGUGGAAUUCGUAGAUAUCAGGAAGAACACCAAUGGCGAAAGCAGCUCUCUGGGACGGUACUGACGCUGAGACGCGAAAGCGUGGGGAGCGAACAGG